rnacentral:piRNA from 1 species
UAUUAAGGAUUGGAUGACUUUUGAAC